UACGUAGGGUGCGAGCGUUGUCCGGAAUUAUUGGGCGUAAAGAGCGUGUAGGCGGCCAGAUAAGUCCGCUGUGAAAUCUCGAGGCUUAACUUCGAGCUGUCGGUGGAAACUAUCUGGCUAGAGUCCGGAAGAGGAGAAUGGAAUUCCUGGUGUAGCGGUGAAAUGCGCAGAUAUCAGGAAGAACACCCGUGGCGAAGGCGGUUCUCUGGGACGGUACUGACGCUGAGACGCGAAAGCGUGGGGAGCGAACAGG
rnacentral:rRNA from 1 species